UACGUAGGGUCCAAGCGUUAUCCGGAAUCACUGGGCGUAAAGCGUGCGUAGGCGGUUUGUUAAGUGAGAUGUGAAAUCGUGUGGCUCAACCAUAUCGUUGUGUCUCAUACUGGCAGACUAGAGGAUAGCAGAGGCAAGUGGAAUUACGAGUGUAGCAGUGAAAUGCGUAGAGAUUCGUAGGAACACCAAUGGCGAAGGCAGCUUGCUGGGCUAUAUCUGACGCUCAGGCACGAAAGCGUGGGGAGCGAACAGG
rnacentral:rRNA from 1 species